CUGGUGUCCACCUCCCCCUCCCCCUGCUCAGCCAGACGCCCGAAUGAAUAGUGGAGUGGAGUGUGGGGGCCAGGUCAGCAGGGUGGGGGUCUGUCUCGUUUCCCUCUUGCCCCCGUGUCUCCAUACCCACUGCGUCCAGCCGCCCUGCCUGGGUAGAGUGGCCGUGGCCCCAGACCUCAGAGGAUAUGAGGGUCACUGAACGGGCAGUGGAGAUCGGAUACGUGCGACCCCAGGGGUCGUGGGCUCCUGCCGCGAGGUGGUCCCGUGCGCGCAGUCCCAUGGUCCUGGUGCACCUGCGAGGGAUCCACCUACCUCGACCUUUGGUGGGAGCACCUCCCCGCCCACAAGGCUCCCGCGCCACAUCCUGCCCGAAGGUGGGAGCCAGGGGCCACUCUAGCCGGACUGGUGAAGCUCCUCCUCCAAGCGCUCAUGGAACAGUCGGGAAACUGAGGCUAGGAGAGGCAGGGACUGGCCGGGAACCCACCAGGUGAGCAGAGCCUAGAGGGGCUGGGGGAGGUUUCGGGCUCCUAGGCCAGGGCUUCACUUUCCCAUGGGGUUUUUGAGGGAAUGAGAGCCUCUAAGAUCCUGGAGGACCGCUGAACCCAUCCCAUGUGGGGUCCUUUCCUCUGGGCAUCCCUGAGUGGGCACAGGUCCACGCAAUUGCAUGGAAACACAGUCCCCCGCCCCCAGUAACUAAUCACCCACGUGGGUAUCAAAGGAUGAGUGGACUCUGGAGUUGACAGGCGGUGGGGGAGAAAAGUGGUGUGGGGCGGGGACAUUGUCUCCAGGGAACAUGCCCAUGAGUGGAGCCAUGCCAGGCCGAUGGCCAGGGGAUCCCCAAGAUGCCCCCGUGUGUAUCACAGGCACCCCCAUUCUAGAGAAGCACCCCACUCAGCUCCCGUGGUUGGAGACCUUCGAGUGCGCAACGUGUUCUCAUGCUGUGUCAUGAUAUCUCGAGGCUGUGGUCUCAGGAGAGCCCACAGGGAGAGCCUUUUCCCACUUGCAGACGGUGGGUCCGGUCUCACCCCCGAAGCCUCUGGUCACUUGCCCGGAGGGACUCAAAGGUGACAUGGGAGGCCCUGGCUUGGCCGGUCUAGCCUGACACGGCCCUGAUCCGACUGAAAUCAACUGAUGAAAUCGGGAAAUGUCUGGCCGAAUCCCGAUACACCUGCCCUACAGAGUUGUGCGUGUGCCCCGUCGCCCAGGAGGGCUACCCUGGACCGAGGAAGAGAGUGGCUGCAGGGAGGUCUUGGGAAGAUAAGCCUGGAGAUGUUCUGGGAAGGCCUCCUUCACCGCCCAGUCCCCCACUGGGUCCUGGUUCACGGGUCCUGGGAUCAGGACCCGGAGCCCCCGGAGCCAGAGCCCGAGGAGUCCGGGGCAGGAGCGGAAGCCGGUGCGGCUCCAGAGCCCGACCCAAGGGCAU